rnacentral:rRNA from 1 species
AGAGUUUGAUCAUGGCUCAGAUUGAACGCUGGCGGCAUGCCUUACACAUGCAAGUCGAGCGGCAGCGCGGGGGCAACCCUGGCGGCGAGCGGCGAACGGGUGAGUAAUGCAUCGGAACGUGUCCUCUUGUGGGGGAUAACCAGUCGAAAGACUGGCUAAUACCGCAUGAGAUCGAGAGAUGAAAGCAAGGGACCGCAAGGCCCUUGCGCGAGAGGAGCGGCCGAUGCCGGAUUAGCUAGUUGGUGGGGUAACGGCCUACCAAGGCGACGAUCCGUAGCUGGUCUGAGAGGACGACCAGCCACACUGGGACUGAGACACGGCCCAGACUCCUACGGGAGGCAGCAGUGGGGAAUUUUGGACAAUGGGGGCAACCCUGAUCCAGCCAUGCCGCGUGUGUGAAGAAGGCCUUCGGGUUGUAAAGCACUUUCGGACGGAACGAAAUCGCGCGAGUUAAUAGUUCGCGUGGAUGACGGUACCGUAAGAAGAAGCACCGGCUAACUACGUGCCAGCAGCCGCGGUAAUACGUAGGGUGCGAGCGUUAAUCGGAAUUACUGGGCGUAAAGUGUGCGCAGGCGGCUCCGCAAGUCGAGUGUGAAAUCCCCGAGCUUAACUUGGGAAUUGCGCUCGAAACUACGGAGCUGGAGUGUGGCAGAGGAAGGUGGAAUUCCACGUGUAGCGGUGAAAUGCGUAGAUAUGUGGAGGAACACCGAUGGCGAAGGCAGCCUUCUGGGCCAACACUGACGCUCAUGCACGAAAGCGUGGGGAGCAAACAGGAUUAGAUACCCUAGUAGUCC